AACGAACGCUGGCGGCAGGCCUAACACAUGCAAGUCGAGCGCUCUAGCAAUAGAGAGCGGCGCACGGGUGAGUAACGCGUAGGAAUCUACCUUGUAGUACGGAACAACAGUUGGAAACGACUGCUAAUACCGUAUACGCCCUUCGGGGGAAAGAAUUUCGCUAUAAGAUGAGCCUGCGUUAGAUUAGCUAGUUGGUGAGGUAAUGGCUCACCAAGGCUCCGAUCUAUAGCUGGUCUGAGAGGAUGAUCAGCCACACUGGGACUGAGACACGGCCCAGACUCCUACGGGAGGCAGCAGUGGGGGAUAUUGGGCAAUGGGCGCAAGCCUGACCCAGCCAUGCCGCGUGAGUGAUGACGGCCUUAGGGUUGUAAAGCUCCUUUAGUGGUGAGGAUGAUGACGGUAACCACAGAAAAGCCCCGGCUAACUUCGUGCCAGCCGCCGCGGUAA
rnacentral:rRNA from 1 species